AGUGAACGCUGGCGGUAGGCCUAACACAUGCAAGUCGAACGGCAGCACAGUAAGAGCUUGCUCUUACGGGUGGCGAGUGGCGGACGGGUGAGGAAUACAUCGGAAUCUACUUUUUCGUGGGGGAUAACGUAGGGAAACUUACGCUAAUACCGCAUACGACCUACGGGUGAAAGCAGGGGAUCUUCGGACCUUGCGCGAUUGAAUGAGCCGAUGUCGGAUUAGCUAGUUGGCGGGGUAAAGGCCCACCUAGGCGACGAUCCGUAGCUGGUCUGAGAGGAUGGUCAGGCACACUGGAACUGAGAAAACGUCCAGACUCCUAAGGGAGGCAGCAGUGGGGAAUAUUGGAGAAUGGGCGGAAGCCUGAUCCAGCCAUACCGCGUGGGUGAAGAAGGCCUUCGGGUUGUAAAGCCCUUUUGUUGGGAAAGAAAAGCAGCAGGUUAAUACCCCGCUGUUCUGACGGUACCCAAAGAAUAAGCACCGGCUAACUUCGUG
rnacentral:rRNA from 1 species